rnacentral:rRNA from 1 species
AUGCACGCUGGCGGCGUGCCUAAUACCUGCCAGUCGAGCGAACAGACGAGGAGCUUGCUCCUCUGACGUUAGCGGCGGACGGGUGAGUAACACGUGGAUAACCUACCUAUAAGACUGGGAUAACUUCGGGAAACCGGAGCUAAUACCGGAUAAUAUAUUGAACCGCAUGGUUCAAUAGUGAAAGACGGUUUUGCUGUCACUUAUAGAUGGAUCCGCGCCGCAUUAGCUAGUUGGUAAGGUAACGGCUUACCAAGGCAACGAUGCGUAGCCGACCUGAGAGGGUGAUCGGCCACACUGGAACUGAGACACGGUCCAGACUCCUACGGGAGGCAGCAGUAGGGAAUCUUCCGCAAUGGGCGAAAGCUUGACGGAGCAACGCCGCGUGAGUGAUGAAGGUCUUCGGAUCGUAAAACUCUGUUAUUAGGGAAGAACAAAUGUGUAAGUAACUAUGCACGUCUUGACGGUACCUAAUCAGAAAGCCACGGCUAACUACGUG